rnacentral:lncRNA from 1 species
GGCAAAGUCUCUCCCCGUGGCGCCGCGCUUCGCCCUGCCCAGGCUCCGCCCACCUCCUCGUGGACCCCGCGCAGGCCUUAUUUCUGUCCUGCGCACGCAGAUUCACGCAAACCUGGAAGCGGAUAGCGUGGAGUGAAGGUCCCACCGCAGCCCGUGAGUUUCUCUCUGUCUUGCAUUAAGUCUGUGUUUCCCAGGUCCCCGGCGCUUCUGUACCUGGGACGUGGGGUCCCUACAGACCUGGAAAUUCUCGCCCUUCUUCAUGCAGAGCAAAUUGAGACGUCCCUUUGAGAGUCUGGGGUUCACUUCCUUUCCUACAGACCUGGAAAUUCUCUCCCGUCUUCCUUCAUGCAGAGCAAAUUGAGAGUCUGGGGUUCGCUUCCUUUUGGGUUUAAAGUCGCCUUGAGGCUGGUGCGGUCUGGUUUUUCUGCUGUAGGGCAAUGUAUACACUUUCUAUUGCAUAGUUUUCCUGCUUAAAACCUUUUUCUAACUCCUCCCGCCCUGCGCUUUUUAAAGUCCUCACAGGUGAGGUGGAUUCCCGCCCUGGGCGCCUCCCACCCUCGCCUUCGUUGGCUUGUGGAGUGUAGCGCCCUGGCCCCAGUCCUUCAGAGGCCGCGUCCUCUGCCUGGUCCUGAGAUCCUGCAGACCCCACCACUGUCUUAAGGCGUCGUCGCCCCCCACCUCCCUCCUCGUGCCGGGUCCUGCUGCUCCCCAGGUCUCCCCUCCGCAGUCACCGCUUCUCCUGAGCGCGCGCUGGGGAGGUGCCCGGGGCCUGUCCUGUGACACGGGCUGUUCUUGCCUGCCCAGCUCCAGCCCCUGUAAAAUGUGCUCCCCCGGGAUGCAGGCGUCUUACUCCAAAUCCUUCUGUAAUCGUGUGGGCCAAAGGGAUCAGGAGACAGCAGUAGAAAACCUGAGAUAAGAAAAGAAAACAGGAGGAGAAAAGUAACUGCAGAAAUGUAGAGAAAAGCUAGAUGUACAGAGACAUGGCAAGGAGAACAGAGGGAGAACCACAGCAGGGAGGAUUAUUGUGGGUCUAGAGUGCCAUAGAGUGGGGACGGGGGAUAUAACAGGGAAGAGAGAAUUUAACAGGGAGAGCAGAGGAGGCGCAGAGAUGGGAGAAGAGGGAGAAAUCUAUGGAGACUGAGGACAAUCGAAAGAUUGAAAGAUCUAUGAAGAAGGAGCCAUAAGAGGUUAAAUAAGUUGUGAGGAUGGAGCAGAAGAGGUGGAAGAGAAGGAAUAAAGGGAAGAAGGGGAUAAACAGCAAGAGAGGAGAGGGGCAAAAAUGAGACGCAGAAUCCCAGGGAAAAAGACAAGAAAACAAGAGCUGGAGAGAGAAGAGGAGAAUGAGAGAUAUGUACAGAAUUAGGGAGGGAAGCAUAGUAAUGAAAACAGAGAAGCUGGGCGCAGUGGCUCAUGCCUGUAAUCCAGGCACUGUAGGAGACUAAGACAAGGGGAUUGCUUGAGUCCAGGAGCUCGACACCAGCCUGGGCAGCAUAAUGAGACCCACAUCUCUGACCGAAAAAAGAAAAAAAAAAAA